UACAGAGGGUGCAAACGUUGUUCGGAAUUACUGGGCGUAAAGCGCGUGCAGGCGGCCUUGCAAGUCGGACGUGAAAUCCCACGGCUCAACCGUGGAAGUGCAUUCGAAACUGCGAGGCUGGAGUCCUGGAGAGGAAAGUGGAAUACUCGGUGUAGAGGUGAAAAUUCGUAGAUAUCGAGUGGAACACCGGUGGCGAAGGCGGCUUUCUGGACAGGUACUGACGCUGAGACGCGAAAGCGUGGGGAGCAAACAGG
rnacentral:rRNA from 1 species